UACGAAGGGGGCGAGCGUUGUUCGGAUUUACUGGGCGUAAAGGGCGCGCAGGCGGCCGCAUUUGUCAGGCGUGAAAUCCCCGGGCUUAACCUGGGAACUGCAUUGGUGACUGCAGAGCUAGAGUGUGUCAGAGGGAGGUGGAAUUCCGCGUGUAGCAGUGAAAUGCGUAGAGAUGCGGAGGAACACCGAUGGCGAAGGCAGCCUCCUGGGAUAACACUGACGCUCAGGCACGAAAGCGUGGGGAGCAAACAGG
rnacentral:rRNA from 1 species